UACGUAGGGUGCGAGCGUUAAUCGGAAUUACUGGGCGUAAAGUGUGCGCAGGCGGCCGAGCAAGUCGAGUGUGAAAGCCCCGAGCUUAACUUGGGAAUUGCGCUCGAAACUACUUGGCUGGAGCGAUGCAGAGGUCGGUGGAAUUGCCGGUGUAGUGGUGAAAUGCGUAGAGAUCGGCAGGAACACCCAGGGGGAAACCAGCCGACUGGGCAUCUGCUGACGCUGAGGUGCGAGAGCGUGGGGAGCGAACCGG
rnacentral:rRNA from 1 species